ACUGCGGUUCUGAGCGCGCCGUCCGCGCCCACCUGACCGCUGCUCGCUACGUUGUGUUAGCC
rnacentral:sRNA from 1 species